AAAUUGAAGAGUUUGAUCAUGGCUCAGAUUGAACGCUGGCGGCAGGCCUAACACAUGCAAGUCGAACGGUAACAGGAAGCAGCUUGCUGCUUCGCUGACGAGUGGCGGACGGGUGAGUAAUGUCUGGGAAACUGCCUGAUGGAGGGGGAUAACUACUGGAAACGGUGGCUAAUACCGCAUAACGUCGCAAGACCAAAGAGGGGGACCUUCGGGCCUCUUGCCAUCAGAUGUGCCCAGAUGGGAUUAGCUUGUUGGUGAGGUAACGGCUCACCAAGGCGACGAUCCCUAGCUGGUCUGAGAGGAUGACCAGCCACACUGGAACUGAGACACGGUCCAGACUCCUACGGGAGGCAGCAGUGGGGAAUAUUGCACAAUGGGCGCAAGCCUGAUGCAGCCAUGCCGCGUGUAUGAAGAAGGCCUUCGGGUUGUAAAGUACUUUCAGCGGGGAGGAAGGUGUUGUGGUUAAUAACCACAGCAAUUGACGUUACCCGCAGAAGAAGCACCGGCUAACUCCGUGCCAGCAGCCGCGGUAAUACGGAGGGUGCAAGCGUUAAUCGGAAUUACUGGGCGUAAAGCGCACGCAGGCGGUCUGUCAAGUCGGAUGUGAAAUCCCCGGGCUCAACCUGGGAACUGCAUUCGAAACUGGCAGGCUUGAGUCUUGUAGAGGGGGGUAGAAUUCCAGGUGUAGCGGUGAAAUGCGUAGAGAUCUGGAGGAAUACCGGUGGCGAAGGCGGCCCCCUGGACAAAGACUGACGCUCAGGUGCGAAAGCGUGGGGAGCAAACAGGAUUAGAUACCCUGGUAGUCCACGCCGUAAACGAUGUCUACUUGGAGGUUGUGCCCUUGAGGCGUGGCUUCCGGAGCUAACGCGUUAAGUAGACCGCCUGGGGAGUACGGCCGCAAGGUUAAAACUCAAAUGAAUUGACGGGGGCCCGCACAAGCGGUGGAGCAUGUGGUUUAAUUCGAUGCAACGCGAAGAACCUUACCUGGUCUUGACAUCCACGGAACUUUCCAGAGAUGGAUUGGUGCCUUCGGGAACCGUGAGACAGGUGCUGCAUGGCUGUCGUCAGCUCGUGUUGUGAAAUGUUGGGUUAAGUCCCGCAACGAGCGCAACCCUUAUCCUUUGUUGCCAGCGGUCCGGCCGGGAACUCAAAGGAGACUGCCAGUGAUAAACUGGAGGAAGGUGGGGAUGACGUCAAGUCAUCAUGGCCCUUACGACCAGGGCUACACACGUGCUACAAUGGCGCAUACAAAGAGAAGCGACCUCGCGAGAGCAAGCGGACCUCAUAAAGUGCGUCGUAGUCCGGAUUGGAGUCUGCAACUCGACUCCAUGAAGUCGGAAUCGCUAGUAAUCGUGGAUCAGAAUGCCACGGUGAAUACGUUCCCGGGCCUUGUACACACCGCCCGUCACACCAUGGGAGUGGGUUGCAAAAGAAGUAGGUAGCUUAACCUUCGGGAGGGCGCUUACCACUUUGUGAUUCAUGACUGGGGUGAAGUCGUAACAAGGUAACCGUAGGGGAACCUGCGGUUGGAUCACCUCCUUA
rnacentral:rRNA from 2 species